rnacentral:lncRNA from 1 species
GUGAGAAACCAUAAGUGCGCCGAUGCCUGACCUAUUGGUCCCGAUGCUGGCGAAGCCACAAGUGUUUAUAUUCCAAACACUUCUUGUUUUCUCGUCCUUCCGUGAGCGCGGAGGGCGAGAAACGUGCCAUCUCGCCGUGCUCUUACGCAUGUGGUUUUGGGACGGUGCGUUCGGGCUCAGUUCGAAUCGUCCUUUACGUGAGGAUCGUCGCUCCGGAUCCAUCCGGGAGCCUCGCAACAGCCCGUCGUGUUCGUCGUCCCCGGUUCGGGACCAUCUUUCUUAGACCGAGCCUGGGCCCGUGUUACGGUGAAGGCAGAUCGAGCAGGAGCUCGACGUUCGAGCGUCUAACCCUACCCACGAAGGCGCCGAAAUCGCGGAGGAAAUCUUUGCUUUUGCGCUCCGUGGUAGCCAGCUCAUUUCAAGGUACAUUGCGCGGAGAGGGA